rnacentral:lncRNA from 1 species
UCUAGUCUUCUGCGUGCUUUAUCUUCUUCCUCUUACCUAUCUUAAUCAUCUGUCUUCCUUGCUAAGAGGGUGACUGGUCCUCCGAAACCGUGUCUUUUCUUCCUUAAGGAACAUGGUAAAUCCUGCCUACUUGGCUCCCUUAAUUGGCGGGAGGUAAUGGAUCGACCUCAAAUUGAGAAUCCCCUCAUAGGAAAGUCUACCUCAAAGAAUGGCCUGGCUUUAAUAAGGCCCUAAGCUUUGCUAAGCCCGUAAAAAGACCCCUCUCAAGACC